UACGUAGGGUGCGAGCGUUGUCCGGAAUUAUUGGGCGUAAAGAGCUCGUAGGCGGUCUGUCGCGUCGGAUGUGAAAACUCGGGGCUCAACCCCGAGCCUGCAUUCGAUACUGCCGUGCUUGAGGACUGGAGAGGAGACUGGAAUUUACGGUGUAGCGGUGAAAUGCGUAGAUAUCGUAAGGAAGACCAGUGGCGAAGGCGGGUCCCUGGACAGUUCCUGACGCUGAGGCACGAAGGCCAGGGGAGCAAACGGG
rnacentral:rRNA from 1 species